UGUUAUUAUCAUUAUUUUUUUUUCAUUUUUUUUUUCUGUUCUUCCGUUUCGCUCUCGAGAACUUUUACGGAAAACUGAUUGCGGAAAAUCGGCGAGGAGUUAGUUCGGUGUUCUUCGAUCUCUGCAGAUUUGGUUCGCAGUGGUUUUCGCGUUGUGGAGAUUGUAGAUAUGGAGAAUAUGGAUUGAAUCUGAAACCCUACCCGAUAAAAAAUCACGAAAAAUGGGGGAGGUAAAAGGAAACCUCGAGUGGUGUUGAAAGGGGGAUGAGAAGUUGAGUUUCGAGGAAAGCUGCUUUGUAUCGGAACUGGAUCGAAUUGUAGGAGAUAUUCCGACGAAACUCCAUUUUUGCAGAUUCUAAACUUGAGCUUGGGUAGCCAAGGCAUACACAGAACCCGAGUUUCUCUCCUUCAGCCCAUUUCAAAGAGCUUGUUGUUGAGAACCCAGUAAUGCAGAACUAGAGCAAACCAUAACUCAUAGCAUUGCUCUCUUGGUCGAGAGAAUUCACAAAUGAAGCACAUUGGGGAUCCAGGUGCAAUGCAUUUGUUCCUUGGAAGCCUAGUCACAUUGCUGUGGACUGGAGUUUCUUUACUAAUGAAAUGCGCUGAUGAUGGGAUGGAUAUGUAGAACCAGAAUGUACUACUAAUUAAGCAUUUACAGGUUCUGCUAAGUAUAGAAUUUGUAUUUCAUCGUUGAGGUAAAUGUUAUAUCUAUCUGAAACCAUUCUUUAUGGAAGUAAAGAUGAUCAAUUUGGUCCUGUAAGGGAUGGUCUGGUGGUGUAGGGGCUGGAUUUGUGACCGUGAAGUCAUGAGUUCAAACCCCGACACCUCAGGUCACCUGCCACACAUGGUUUGCCUUGUGUGACUUUCCCGUCGGGCCUGGUUUGCAGGAUAUUAGGUUCGGCCGGGGGUUUACCCAGUGCGCACUUUCGGGUAGCGGCUGCGGGUUCCCACGUCGUCCAAAAAAAAAAAAAAAAGAUGAAUCUGAGGUAGAAGACACCAGGGGCAUGCAUUCGUUAAAGAUGCUACAGUAGUCAGAACUAAAGAGAUGGGGUGAGGAGCUUACACCAGGCAGUCAAGUCCACAAUGUCUUCUUACAAACGACGAUAUUGUGCGAGAGAGCUGUGUGUCUCAUCCAUCCGAGUUGUUAUUACAACAUGCCAAAAGUCCAGGAAAGCCUAGCAGUUUAUUUUACUUUUCGAGCACUUCACUACUGGCACGGACAU